rnacentral:rRNA from 1 species
GGAGUGCCAAGUGGGCCACUUUUGGUAAGCAGAACUGGCGCUGUGGGAUGAACCAAACGCCGAGUUAAGGCGCCCGAAUCGACGCUCAUGGGAAACCAUGAAAGGCGUUGGUUGCUUAAGACAGCAGGACGGUGGCCAUGGAAGUCGGAAUCCGCUAAGGAGUGUGUAACAACUCACCUGCCGAAGCAACUAGCCCUGAAAAUGGAUGGCGCUGAAGCGUCGUGCCUAUACUCGGCCGUCAGCGGCAUCGGGAGCGGCCCCGGCCCCGGUCGGCGGCGCUCGAGGAAGCCCUGACGAGUAGGAGGGUCGCGGCGGUGAGCGCAGAAGGGCAGUGGCGCGAGCCUGCCUGGAGCCGCCGUCGGCGCAGAUCUUGGUGGUAGUAGCAAAUACUCCAGCGAGGCCCUGGAGGCCUGAGGCGGAGCAGGGUUUCGUGUGAACAGCCGUUGCACACGAGUCAGUCGAUCCUAAGCCCUAUGCGAAAGCUGAUGCCGAUGGGCGGUCGUACGCACGUUCCGACACCCCCGGCCGGGCGAAAGGGGAUCCGGUUCCUAUUCCGGAACCCGGCAGCGGAACCGUUCCGAUUCGGGCCCUCGCGAGAGAGCUCGUCGGGGUAACCCAAAAGGACCCGGAGACGCCGUCGGGAGAUCUGGGAAGAGUUCUCUUUUCUGUAUGAGCGUUCGAGUUCCCUGGAAUCCUCUAGCAGGGAGAUAGGGUUUGGAACGCGAAGAGCACCGCAGUUGCGGCGGUGUCCAGAUCUUCCCCUCGGACCUUGAAAAUCCGGGAGAGGGCCACGCGGAGCAUUCGCGCCGGCUCGUACCCAUAUC